GCCUACGGGGUGCAGCAGCCGCGGUAAUACGUAGGUGGCAAGCGUUAUCCGGAUUUACUGGGUGUAAAGGGCGUGUAGGCGGGGACGCAAGUCAGAUGUGAAAACCACGGGCUCAACCUGUGGCCUGCAUUUGAAACUGUGUUUCUUGAGUACUGGAGAGGCAGACGGAAUUCCUAGUGUAGCGGUGAAAUUCGUAGAUAUUAGGAGGAACACCAGUGGCGAAGGCGGUCUGCUGGACAGCAACUGACGCUGAGGCGCGAAAGCGUGGGGAGCAAACAGGAUUAGAAACCCCGUAGUCCCACAAA
rnacentral:rRNA from 1 species